UACGUAGGGUGCGAGCGUUGUCCGGAUUUAUUGGGCGUAAAGCGAGCGCAGGUGGUUUAAUAGGUCUGAUGUAAAAGGCAGUGGCUCAACCAUUGUGUGCAUUGGAAACUGUUAGACUUGAGUGCAGUAGAGGAGAGUGGAAUUCCAUGUGUAGCGGUGAAAUGCGUAGAUAUAUGGAGGAACACCGGUGGCGAAAGCGGCUCUCUGGACUGUAACUGACACUGAGGCUCGAAAGCGUGGGUAGCAAACAGG
rnacentral:rRNA from 1 species